GGGAUAGCCGCCCGAAAGGACGGGUAAUACCGGAUACCCCGGGGUGCCGCAUGGCACCCCGGCUAAAGCCCCGACGGGAGGGGAUGGCUCCGCGGCCCAUCAGGUAGACGGCGGGGUGACGGCCCACCGUGCCGACAACGGGUAGCCGGGUUGAGAGACCGACCGGCCAGAUUGGGACUGAGACACGGCCCAGACUCCUACGGGAGGCAGCAGUGGGGAAUCUUGCGCAAUGGGGGGAACCCUGACGCAGCGACGCCGCGUGCGGGACGGAGGCCUUCGGGUCGUAAACCGCUUUCAGCAGGGAAGAGUCAAGACUGUACCUGCAGAAGAAGCCCCGGCUAACUACGUGCCAGCAGCCGCGGUAAUACGUAGGGGGCGAGCGUUAUCCGGAUUCAUUGGGCGUAAAGCGCGCGUAGGCGGCCCGGCAGGCCGGGGGUCGAAGCGGGGGGCUCAACCCCCCGAAGCCCCCGGAACCUCCGCGGCUUGGGUCCGGUAGGGGAGGGUGGAACACCCGGUGUAGCGGUGGAAUGCGCAGAUAUCGGGCGGAACACCGGUGGCGAAGGCGGCCCUCUGGGCCGAGACCGACGCUGAGGCGCGAAAGCUGGGGGAGCGAACAGGAUUAGAUACCCUGGUAGUCCCAGCCGUAAACGAUGGACGCUAGGUGUGGGGGGACGAUCCCCCCGUGCCGCAG
rnacentral:rRNA from 1 species